rnacentral:rRNA from 1 species
CUAGUACGAGAGGACCGGAGUGGGCAGACCUCUAGGUAUCCAGGUGUCCCAUUACGGGCAGUCUGCGACCCCACGUCUGGACAUUGCUAACCCCUGAAAGCAUCAAUGGGGGAAGAAGGCGCAUAGUCUAUAGCCAGUACAAGAAAGGGUGCCCGGAAGACUACGGGUUCAAUAGGAGCAUAUGAAUACCGUCGCAAGA